rnacentral:tRNA from 2 species
UGAUGUGGCUCAAUUGGCAGAGCACCUGAUUUGUAAUCAGGGGGUUGGGGGUUCGAUUCCCUCCAUCAGC